rnacentral:rRNA from 1 species
GAUGAACGCUAGCUACAGGCUUAACACAUGCAAGUCGAGGGGCAUCAUGAUCUAGCAAUAGAUUGAUGGCGACCGGCGCACGGGUGAGUAACACGUAUCCAACCUUCCAUUAACUCGGGGAUAGCCUUUCGAAAGAAAGAUUAAUACCCGAUAGUAUAGCAUUUCCUCCUGGUUUUGCUAUUAAAGAAUUUCGGUUAUUGAUGGGGAUGCGUUCCAUUAGUUUGUUGGCGGGGUAACGGCCCACCAAGACUUCGAUGGAUAGGGGUUCUGAGAGGAAGGUCCCCCACAUUGGAACUGAGACACGGUCCAAACUCCUACGGGAGGCAGCAGUGAGGAAUAUUGGUCAAUGGACGGGAGUCUGAACCAGCCAAGUAGCGUGAAGGAUGAAGGCUCUAUGGGUCGUAAACUUCUUUUAUACGGGAAUAAAGUGAACCACGUGUGGUUUUUUGUAUGUACCGUAUGAAUAAGGAUCGGCUAACUCCGUG